rnacentral:sRNA from 2 species
CAAAUAGCCGACUAGGGUUCCGGUUCGCCAGUAACGGCGGAUGACUGGUCCGAGAGUUGGCGACCUCCUCGAGAGGUUACACGGCGGGACAAAAGCCCGGGAGAA